AACACCUCAAAGCUUUUGAUUUUUUUUAAAAGUUUUGGACUUGAGCAAUCCCAACACCAAUCUUUUUCAGAUCGGCGGCGGGUUGCUUGAAAUGCAGGUGCAGCUGGACAUUCUCCUGAGCUAAAAGCAUAUUUAUUUAGUCCCGUCAAACGGAUUAUUACUUUUGCUGCAGCUAAUAUAAAGGGAGUUUGACCGUAUUGGCUGACUGAUGCAGGAUUUCACAAGGGUCGGCAACGAUUCUUGUAAA
rnacentral:misc_RNA from 1 species